AGUAACGCGUGGGUAACCUGCCUCAUACAGGGGGAUAACGAUUGGAAACGAUUGCUAAUACCGCAUAAGCGCACAGUACCACAUGGUGCAGUGUGAAAAACUCCGGUGGUAUGAGAUGGACCCGCGUCUGAUUAGCUAGUUGGUGAGGUAACGGCCCACCAAGGCAACGAUCAGUAGCCGACCUGAGAGGGUGACCGGCCACACUGGGACUGAGACACGGCCCAG
rnacentral:rRNA from 1 species